AUACGUAGGGCGCAAGCGUUGUCCGGAAUUAUUGGGCGUAAAGAGCUCGUAGGCGGUUUGUCGCGUCUGCUGUGAAAGCCCGGGGCUCAACCCCGGGUCUGCAGUGGGUACGGGCAGACUAGAGUGCAGUAGGGGAGACUGGAAUUCCUGGUGUAGCGGUGAAAUGCGCAGAUAUCAGGAGGAACACCGAUGGCGAAGGCAGGUCUCUGGGCUGUAACUGACGCUGAGGAGCGAAAGCAUGGGGAGCGAACAGGAUUAGAUACCCUGGUAGUCCAUGCCGUAAACGUUGGGCACUAGGUGUGGGGGACAUUCCACGUUUUCCGCGCCGUAGCUAACGCAUUAAGUGCCCCGCCUGGGGAGUACGGCCGCAAGGCUAAAACUCAAAGGAAUUGACGGGGGCCCGCACAAGCGGCGGAGCAUGCGGAUUAAUUCGAUGCAACGCGAAGAACCUUACCAAGGCUUGACAUGGACCGGACCGCCGCAGAAAUGCGGUUUCCCUUCGGGGCCGGUUUACAGGUGGUGCAUGGUUGUCGUCAGCUCGUGUCGUGAGAUGUUGGGUUAAGUCCCGCAACGAGCGCAACCCUCGUUCUAUGUUGCCAGCGCGUUAUGGCGGGGACUCAUAGGAGACUGCCGGGGUCAACUCGGAGGAAGGUGGGGACGACGUCAAAUCAUCAUGCCCCUUAUGUCUUGGGCUUCACGCAUGCUACAAUGGCCGGUACAAAGGGUUGCGAUACUGUGAGGUGGAGCUAAUCCCAAAAAGCCGGUCUCAGUUCGGAUUGAGGUCUGCAACUCGACCUCAUGAAGUCGGAGUCGCUAGUAAUCGCAGAUCAGCAACGCUGCGGUGAAUACGUUCCCGG
rnacentral:rRNA from 1 species